UACGAAGGGGGCUAGCGUUGCUCGGAAUCACUGGGCGUAAAGCGCACGUAGGCGGAUUGUUAAGUCAGGGGUGAAAUCCUGGAGCUCAACUCCAGAACUGCCUUUGAUACUGGCGAUCUUGAGUCCGGGAGAGGUGAGUGGAACUGCGAGUGUAGAGGUGAAAUUCGUAGAUAUUCGCAAGAACACCAGUGGCGAAGGCGGCUCACUGGCCCGAUACUGACGCUGAGGCACGAAAGCGUGGGGAGCAAACAGGG
rnacentral:rRNA from 1 species